rnacentral:rRNA from 1 species
CUCUUGACGUAGCGGCGGGACGGGUGAGUAACACGUGGGUAACCUACCUAUAAGACUGGGAUAACUUCGGGAAACCGGAGCUAAUACCGGAUAAUAUUUCGAACCGCAUGGUUCGAUAGUGAAAGGUGGUUUUGCUAUCACUUAUAGAUGGACCCGCGCCGUAUUAGCUAGUUGGUAAGGUAACGGCUUACCAAGGCGACGAUACGUAGCCGACCUGAGAGGGUGAUCGGCCACACUGGAACUGAGACACGGUCCAGACUCCUACGGGAGGCAGCAGUC